GUCAAAUUCUGCCGUAUCGAUGCCGUGGCCACCGGUGCUGCUGAACGCUUCUCCUCUGAGGUUCUUCCGACCCUAUUGGUGUACAAGGCUGGUGAGUUACUGGGUAACUUCCUGGCUGUGACCCAACACUUCAAUGAAGAGUUCUUUGCGACGGAUGUUGAGGCCUUUCUCAAUGAAUAUGGCCUCUUACCCGAGAAGGAGUUUGAAGCGUGUGCUGCUGAUGAGGAUGAGGGAGGGGAAGUGGAAUAGAGCAUUUAUGCAGUGCGCUGGAGGGCAGCAAAUACAAGUAGAAACCAGGAUGGGCGGAUCUGAUGGUAAGGGGCAAAUGAAAAGGAGAGCUGAGGAAAAGAAGUGGAAGAACAGCAGCAUGUUUAAAAAAAGCACAACACUGUGCAUACAGAUAAAGAUCUAGCAGCUCAAAUGCUGAAUCUAUUUAGAGACUGUUAGACGUAAACCACAGAGCAGGUCUGUGCUGAAAUACUGCUUAGCAGUGAUGUCAUAACUCUCCAAUAAAAGAUUCUUCAUCACAG